CGAGACGAGAUUCUACGGAAUUGAAGUCAUUGAUGCCAUGCUUCCAGGAAAAGCUUCUAAGCUUCAGAUAUAUAGGAACCGUACCCCAAACCGACACAGGUGGUUAGGUAGAGAAUACUAAGGCGCUUGAGAGAACUCGGGUGAAGGAACUAGGCAAAAUAGUACCGUAACUUCGGGAGAAGGUACGCUCUCUAGUGUUAAGCCCUUGCGGUGUAAGCACAGGAGAGUCGAAGUAACCAGGUGGCUGGAACUGUUUAUUAAAAACACAGCACUGUGCAAAAUCGAAAGAUGACGUAUACGGUGUGACGCCUGCCCGGUGCCGGAAGGUUAAUUGAUUGGGUUAGCUCUGCGAAGCUCAUGAUCGAAGCCCCGGUAAACGGCGGCCGUAACUAUAACGGUCCUAAGGUAGCGAAAUUCCUUGUCGGGUAAGUUCCGACCUGCACGAAUGGCGUAAUCAUGGCCACACUGUCUCCACCCGAGACUCAGUGAAAUUGAAAUUGCGGUUAAGAUGCCGUAUACCCGCGGCUAGACGGAAAGACCCCGUGAACCUUUACUAUAGCUUGACAGUGAACAUUGCUCCUACAUGUGUAGGAUAGGUGGGAGGCUUUGAAGAUGYGUCGCCAGAURYGUUGGAGCCAACCUUGAAAUACCACCCUUGUAUGCGUGAUGUUCUAACCUAGGGCCCURAUCGGGCUUGGGGACACUGUCUGGUGGGUAGUUUGACUGGGGCGGUCUCCUCCCAAAGAGUAACGGAGGAGCACGAAGGUUGGCUAAGUACGGUCGGACAUCGUACGGUUAGUGCAAUGGCAUAAGCCAGCUUAACUGCGAGACAGACACGUCGAGCAGGUACGAAAGUAGGUCAUAGUGAUCCGGUGGUUCUGUAUGGAAGGGCCAUCGCUCAACGGAUAAAAGGUACUCCGGGGAUAACAGGCUGAUACCGCCCAAGAGUUCAUAUCGACGGCGGUGUUUGGCACCUCGAUGUCGGCUCAUCACAUCCUGGGGCUGAAGUCGGUCCCAAGGGUAUGGCUGUUCGCCAUUUAAAGUGGUACGCGAGCUGGGUUUAGAACGUCGUGAGACAGUUCGGUCCCUAUCUGCCGUGGGCGUUUGAGAAUUGAAGAGGGCUGCUCCUAGUACGAGAGGACCGGAGUGGACGAACCGCUGGUGUUCGGGUUGUUAUGCCAAUAGCAUUGCCCGGUAGCUACGUUCGGAACUGAUAACCGCUGAAAGCAUCUAAGCGGGAAACAGGCUUUGAGAUGAGUUCUCACUGGAGCUUUGUUUUGUAUGAAGACUGACAAAGGUCGAAAGACUGUCACGUACAUAACGUGUUGAAUAAGAAUUGUAUUUAUAUCUGGUCAACAAAGAACAUCCUCCAUGAUGUUUGUUGAC
rnacentral:rRNA from 1 species